rnacentral:lncRNA from 1 species
AGAUAUUUUCUUUCUCUUUUACCCUAGUUUUUAGAGAGAGAACUCCUCCCUGAUAGCGGAGAGGGAGAGAUGAUCGUGCAGGGACGACGGGGGAGAUUUAUCUUGGUUUUUUCUUCCCUUGGUAGAGAGAGAACUCUAGCUCCUAAUUUUUUUAAUGAAAGAGAACUACUCGUGUAGAGAGAGAGUUUUUUAAUAGACUAGGACAGAGUUCUUGAGGAUCACCGUUAAAAUGCUUGCAUGUAGGUUAACCGGUAAAGCUCCAUCUUUUUCUUGAGAUUAGAAUCACGAUUUAAUGGUGAUCCUUUGGGGUCUAAUGCCAUUGGGCGUGG